rnacentral:rRNA from 1 species
UAUGUGAUCGUCUCUCGCAUAUCAAUAAGCGGAGGAAAAGAAACUAACAAGGAUUCCCCCUAGUAACGGCGAGUGAAGCGGGAAGAGCUCAAAUUUGAAAUCUUAAAGGGUUUCCCUUUACGAAUUGUAGUUUAAAGAAGUGUUUUCUGUUGAGGUUUUGGUAAAAGUUCUUUGGAACUAGGACAUCAUAGAGGGUGAGAAUCCCGUAUUUGACCUUUACUUUCAACUUUGUGAUACACUUUCAAAGAGGUCGGAUUGUUUGGGAAUGCAGUCCAAAAUGGGUGGUAAAUUUCAUCUAAAGCUAAAUAUUGGCGAGAGACCGAUAGCGAACAAGUACCGUGAGGGAAAGAUGAAAAGAACUUUGAAAAGAGAGUUAAACAGUACGUGAAAUUGUCAAAAGGGAAGCGUUUGACACCAGUGUUGUUUUUCUGAAAAUCAAUUAAAGAACUGUUUAUGCUAAGCUGUUUAGACUUUAUCAGCUAUCUGUUUAGUUUUGAGCUUUUCUUUAAUGCACUUUUCAGUUAACAAGUCAACAUCAAUUUCUUUUGCUGUAAAAAAGCUUGAGGAAGGUGGCUUGAGAUUCGUCUUAAGUGUUUAUAGCCUCUUGCCUAUGCAGUCGGAGAGAUUGAGGUCUGCAGCGUAGAUCCUUCGGGGCUAAAUGCAUUUGUGCUAAGUUAUAGCAUUUUAUAGACAACUUGUUGACUAUGAUUUGUCUUGUAGCUUACUCGCUUAUGUUAUUUUACCUACGCUUAGGAUGUUGAUCUACAGAGCGAGGU